UUAAGGCUCUCCACUCUCCAGAAUACAAGCGUAUUCCCAAAUCCUCUGCAAAGAUGGUGUUGAAGAAUUACUGGACAGCAUGCCAGGGUCCUGAGGACAGGCCAUCUUGUCACCCCAUGUGGACAUGACAAUUGUUGGUAAGAGUCGUCCAUCCUUACUAUUAAUUUUGCAUAAAUCUCUUCAUAAUCUCUUCAACAACUUCCCCCACCCCCCAGUAGUAGAGAAUUAAGCUAUUCCCAAAGAUGUAAACAGGAGACUCCAAGCCCCACCCACACUAUCCAAGCAGAGGACAGUGAAAGAGGAUAGGCCCAGAGGGAUAAGGGUAAGGGAGUGUGGCAAAGUGAGGAGUUCAGAUCAGGACAGGGAAGGGAGGAGGGCAAGGAAUGAAGGGCAAAACCCACAGCCUGGGAGGAAGAGAAAGGCAUAAAACCCAAAGAGUUUAAGGUGGAGAGGUAAUGGAAAUGGGGCUAUGGGUGGAUAAGGAAGCAGAGAGUGAGGGUGGGGCUGGGAAAAAAGAAAAGAGGAAGAAGAGAAAAAGCGUGCGCGUAAAGAGAGAGUUAGGCAAGAAAAGGACGAGACAGAGUGGGGAAGGAGAGGCCGGAGCAGGGGGAGCAAAGCAGGCAGAAAGGUGAAAGCAGGCACAGAGAGACUGUAAUCUCCUUCAGAGAUGGUGCCUGUCUCCUGUGUAUCCUCCACAGGGUUCUCACCAGCACCUCCAUCAGCAGAGCCUAAAAAGGAAAUCAGGGGGCACGGAGUUCUGGGAAACGUGGUUUGCGACAGCCAGCAUCACACAGUGGAAUUGAGACAAGUAGGCUUGGCCUGACACCAAAGAAGUGGCAGGCUCCAGGGGCUCAGCUGUUGUUCCUGUCUAUCUGAGGGGCUGGCCAUUGUGCCCUCAUGUGACAGGUCACCUCAUCUGGUCCAGGCUCUUAACAAGAAGAGUGAGAC